CCCUAAUCCUCUCCACAUGGGUGGGCACUGGAGCCGCCAGGGCCCCGCUGCAACACGCAGGCCUGCAGGAACACCAACGCCACUGCACGGGGAGGACCCUGCCCCCAGGCCCUGCAGAGGAAGAGAAAACCUCCCCCACCACCUGAGAAGAAUUCAAGGUAUCAGGGGAGCCUUGCAGACACCAACAGCAUCUUGUGUGAGGAGCUGGAGUUUGCAAGUCCCAGGGAUCUCCCUCCCUGAAGACCUCUGGAUGAGCGUCUGGGAGUCGCAUGCUUGAGCGAACGCCAUCUUGUGUUGCUCAAGGGAAUUAAAAUGAAUAGCCAAAGGCUGUUAUUAAAUAAAUGAAUAAG
rnacentral:lncRNA from 1 species